GACACCCGGUAAUCAUGAAUAUACACUCCAUUGGGGUAAAGUAGAUGACCUAAUUAUAAACUAGAUGAAGCAUGUGCAAAAUUUCAAGUGAACUUGGAGAUCGGAAUUUCAAUCGCCCGCGCUCACAGGCCAUGACGUCACUCGAACUCACUUCCAUCAUGGCGGCAAGGCGGGAGGUGGAGGUGCACGCCGAGCAGCUGUCUCCGUAAAGGUGGAUGCAGUUGGAUCAACGGGACAAAAAAGUUGGCGGUGGUCUUUGGCUGCUGCUCCAAGGCAGGUGGAAGCCCUCCAGUGAUUGUUUGUGUUGUAUGGCCAAGUGAGGGAGACGUCACACAGCAACACGGGCUCAAACCUCAUCAUUCUGGGUUUCAUUUCCACGUCUUGACCUUCUAAUCCAACCACUGUACCCAUAGAGCACAGGCCUGACAUCUAGGGAGUGAAAAAGGUUUGGAAAGAGGGCAUGUGAACUGUACACCCGCAGCUUCCUGUACAUGGGCUCCCAGCUUGUGUACCAGUUUACUUGGUCUUCUCCCCUUGUUUUUAUGCAAGGAAAUUUACCAUUCACGUGAGGUGGCCCCUGCAUUGUGGGGAAGUCCUGAAUCAUCAUCUAACAAGCAGCCAUUCUCAUCUUCGCUGGCUAGCAUUAAUGUGUCACUGAACUUGUUUAGAAUUUUUUUUUUUUUUUUACGUCGCAGCCUAUUGCGCCGGUAGGCUUCUUCCCGGUGGGGCCUGAGGGUCGGCCCAGCCCGAAAUAUGUUUUAUAAACUUAACAAGUCUGGCGAUGUGAGGUAAUGCAAACCAGUGAGGAUGAGAACGGGUUCCCUUGAGUGCUGGCCUGUUGAGGACUGAUCAUUGGAUGCUGGCUCAGGAUGUUCACACAAUGCAGAGAGGAUACAGUAGGCAAUCACUUGAAUGGUAAAUCUCCAUGCAUAAUGUUGCCAUGGGUGCUUGUAAGUAAAGCUCACAGCUCUGAAAUGUUUGGAUGAAGAUAAUGCUUUGAACCUUGUCUGAAGUAGGGAGGCCUGGCAGUGGCGGGGACAAUAGUGUAGAUUACUGGUUCAGCAUGAGUAAAAACCCACCUUAAAAGGAUAGCUAUAGGCAUCUCCAGCCAUUUGUGGUUGAGGUAACUUCUGAUGACAAGUGUAUAAUGCUAGUGAGGCUGAAGCACACCCUGGGCUUCAUGACUUUUAUUGCAGUGCAUAGUCCUGCUUAUUUGUGUGGAACUGAAGAGAGAGAUGGUAUUCUAUGCCAGACUAACUCUGUAUUAGACCAGUGCCCCUUUCGAGACACAUUCAUUGUCUGGGCGACUUCAAUAUAUACUACUGAUGCCUCAGGGUUGGCUAUGAAUUAUGAGUUGACUCUAUGGUUCUAGUACAGGGACACUAAUAGGUCUCUCCUGAAUUUUAAAAGAUCCAGGAGAUGGAGAAUUACAGGUCCUUAGUACCAGAGAUGCACUGUUGGACUUUGUAUAGAAAUGCUGGAGGGGUAGUUAAGGAAUUUUAUCACUUCCUGUAAGUGCUCUUUGGAGGAUCCAUCAGUGUUUUUUUGCAACUUGUUGUGGCAACAGUCAAGCUUCAUGUUAGAUUAAGAAGAAUCCUGAGAUGCAACAAGAUUGUUUCAUCUUGAGACACUUAAAGAGCUGGCAUAUCCUCAGGAGUAUACAGAAACAAUCUUCAAAUUGGUUUAAUGUGCUCAGCACCCUUGAGGAUCCUGUAGAACUGUAGUAUACCUUCAAACUUCAAGCUGCAAUGGAGUGCAUUGGAGAGCACUAAAGAUCUAGAAGUGGUUUUACCUCUGGGGAGAUACUAGAGAAUAUCUAAGUCACACUGCCAGACUUGCUGGGAAGUAGGACCAACACAGGGCUAGAGGUUAGAAACAAGAAGUACGUCUUGAGUCUCACUGAGGAUGUCGAUGGCCACUUUGGUACAAAUGACCUCCGACCCGUUUACCAAACCUCUCUCUCAGGUGAGUGCUAUCUGAACAGAGGAUAAUUGUCUCAUGUCAGAUGUGGAUGGGUUGAGGGUUCACUGGGUGGGUUUUGUACUUUGAACAUUUGUACUUAUUGGACCCUCUGAGGGGGUAGCUUCCAACUACAGGGUUGCAGUUGGUGGAUGCUGAUCCACCCACUGAUGAAAUCCCACCCUCUUGAUAAGGUUGGAAAGGCUAUGGCAUGGCUGAGGGUUGAAAAGGCAGCUGGUAUGUGUAGAAUUAGUGCAGAGCAGCUCAGAGCUGGAGAUGAGGCCAUGCUCCAAGAGUUGCAUGUUUUCUUAACUGCUGUAUGGCAUUCUGGUACCAUUCCUCCUGAGUGAAAGAUGGGGCUGGUCUUUCCUAUCUGGAAAGGGAAAGGGGCCCACCAGGACUGCAAGAACUACUGUUAUAUCACUCUGCUUGGUGUACCAGGCAAUGUGCUUGCCCUUCUAUUUCUCAUGCAGAUUUGCAGCUAGCUGUUGAAAUUGUAAAGAAUCCUGAAGAGUCCAGGUUCAUGCUUGUUAAGUUGACAACUGACUGUAUCCUAGCACUUUGCGUACUGGUGGAGCACCAAUGUGAGUUUUGACAGGGGGUGCUUGCAGCAUAUGAAAGCAUUUAAUUCAGUUCAUGAUGAGGCACUAUGGAGUCUCCUGCAACUUAACAGGAUUCCAACAAGGACCUCUGGUCUAUAUUGACUGGCCUGUACUAAGGACCAACAGAUCUAUAAAAUGUGGGUGGGGUGUGUCCAGCUUCUUUCCCAUGAACAUGUUAGUGAGGCAAGGCAGUGUUCUUUCCCCAUCACUUUUCAGCACUACCAUGUACUGGGUACUAGGCAGAGUUGCAGACCAGAGUCAUUAUUUAACAUGUUGGCAAUACCAUGAUCACUUACUUAUUUUUGCUUCAGAGAUACUGUAAUAAUAGUGAAAAAAUCCUGAAAUGAACACCACCUUGUGCCGGGGAUAGAACCUUUACCUUCCGAGUAGAAGUCAGGGCAGUAUACUGACUAUGCCACCGAUGAGCCAAAACAGUUGAUUAAAAGCGUUUCCAACCGUCACGGGUGUGAGCGGGGUCACCUUCACCCUUCAUGCCCACAGUGCGAGGUGGGGGCGUCAGGAAUAGGUCACAGAAGUGGCCACUGGCGUGGUGACCUUUUAGCUCAUCGGUGGUGUAGUCUGUAUGCUGCCCUGACUUCUACUCGGAAGGUAAAGGUUCUAUCCCCGGCACGCAGUGGUGUUCAUUACCGGACUUAUUUUUGUCGAUGUAUAUU